GAUGAACGCUAGCGGCAGGCCUAACACAUGCAAGUCGAGGGAGAAGCCCUUCGGGGCAGAAACCGGCGCACGGGUGCGUAACGCGUAUGCAACCUACCUUUCACAGGGGGAUAGCCCGAAGAAAUUUGGAUUAAUACCCCAUAAUAUUAUUGGGUGGCAUCAUUUGAUAAUUAAAAUUACGAUGGUGAAAGAUGGGCAUGCGUCCUAUUAGCUAGUUGGAGUGGUAACGGCACCCCAAGGCUACGAUAGGUAGGGGUCCUGAGAGGGAGAUCCCCCACACUGGUACUGAGACAGGGACCAGACUCCUACGGGAGGCAGCAGUGAGGAAUAUUGGUCAAUGGUCGGAAGACUGAACCAGCCAUGCCGCGUGCAGGAAGAAUGCCUUAUGGGUUGUAAACUGCUUUUAUAUGGGAAGAAUAAGGAGUACG
rnacentral:rRNA from 1 species